UGACAAAGCGCCUUCCUCCGCUGCGAGGUCGCUGCUCUCAGCCCCGGUGGUGCCGAUGAGAGCGGGCGCGUGGUAGGCUGAGGCGCCGGCUGGCCUGCGCCUGGCAGUGCCCUGGUCACCUAGACCCCGAUUCCGGGCGACUUUCCUUCCCAGAGCGGCAGUAGCUUGAUGUCAGGGUGGGGCCGCUCCCCGGAACCGUUGUUGCACUGACUGAAAACAGAGCUUAAUCCCCCACCUCCCCCAUCCCAAGAGCUCCUGGUCUAAUGGAAGAGACAGAGGAGACAGGCGUUCAAUACACACAAGUCGAACCAAUCUUCCCUUUACAGGUUAAUGUACAUAAUCCAAAUACCACAUUCCAUCCAUCACAAAGGGUCAGUUUGGCAGCCCUCUCUGUGUCCAAGAGGAGCAGUGGAUGUUUGCCACAGGCCCUGGGCUGUAUCUGUCCAUCUUCAACAUGACAAGGUCAAACAUGGGCUGUACAAGUCAUCUCAUGUCACCCGCACAGACAGAAAAUGACAGAAAAACAUUCGCUGCAAAUGAAGAAGCUUGCUCAGACAGGUAAAGUGACUCACCCAAGGACACCCAGCUUCUGGGCCUGGCUAAUUCGAGAGCUUUCAAGAUUUCCCUUUUCCUAUCUUUCUCCCUCUGCCUUUUCCUCCUUCCUCAGCCUUUCAUAUCCACAGGACACCUACCCCUGUGGCCACCUGUUGGGAUUCUGCGUGUCCUUCAAGGCCCAGCUGAAAUGCUACCUCACCAGAAGGCCAUCCCAGGCAGUGGAGUCCAAAUGCCUCUCACCUCUGCAGCCUGGAAUUAUCCAUCAGAGUAUUCUAAUCAGCUGCCACAAAUAUCUCUUAGAUGGCGCUGGACCACAGAAGCCCACCCUUGCUGACCAUUCCCACUGGGCAGCUUUAGCCCCCUCACAUCGCUUGGCCUCAAAUCUUCAUUCAGACAAGCUGUGGGCCGAUUGCUGGACCGCUCUGAGCCUCAGUGUCCCCAUGUGUAAAAUAAACUGAUGAUGAUCCCUACUUUAUGGGACCCUGGGAAGGAUGAAAUGAGGUACAAUGUCGCCAGAAAGAUAGUAACUCUUAAGCAAUUACACACAGUAGUAGGUUUAUUGCAACCCAUACUGAUGUUGGCUGAGCACCACCACCUCUUUUUGCCCCAAUGGAUAAAUGGCCACCAGGGGUGGAAGUCAGUCUGGGCUCUCCGAGGAGGCUGUGGGCCGCCCGGCAGGGGGACAGGGACAUGAAUGAACAGGCUUGCAAAAUGAUUCUGGAGCCACAGAAUGUCAUCCAGUUUGGUAGUUUUGAACUCUUUUAAACAGGCACUUUUUUUUUCCUAAAGCAACCUCACAGAGACUCCCGAUGUCCAAAGUGCACGGGGCAGGCAGGGCUGCUCAGGUGGAGGCCUCAGCUUUCAUUCACUGGAGCAAGGACUGAUGUCUAAAGCUCAGCAAGCAGCCUACACAGUCUGCGGGGACCCGCGGCUCCCUCCCCAGAUGGGGCACUCUGUCUCUAUUAAAGCAGCUCAUGUCCCCAUCUACUUGUCAGGCAGCUGUGCCACGGAGCUGAGGUCAACCAAGGCCCCAGGGCUUUUGCACAAGGCUGCUGCCUGGUGCCACCUCCCCAGCUCAUUCCCUGACGGCUAGGCAUGGAUAGCUGUGUAGCCCCCGCCCCUCUCUGUGGAUGGCCCACUGCCCAUCUGGACACCCUUCCUAUGCCAGCUGAUCCCCUAGGCCCUAGGCUUCCAUCAUAUCACUGACCAAAGCACAGGGCAGUUUGAGUGGGGGUCAGAGGCCUGGGGGGUCUUUGGCUGGAAGGACGCGAGUUCUUAAGCAGCUCUACUACCCCAGUUCCUGCCACUACACCACCAUCCUGACAUCUGGCCCACAACCCUGCUCCUUCUCCAGAAGGUCCUGAACGACUUUCUCAAAGGCCUUUCAGAAUUCAAGACACGUGAUUUCUUCAUUCACUCAUUUCAAUGAAUUCCACGUGAUGAUGAUGAUAUAUUACCAGCAA